rnacentral:rRNA from 1 species
UACGUAGAGGGCAAGCGUUGUCCGGAUUCAUUGGGCGUAAAGAGCUCGUAGGCGGUUCAGUAAGUCAGGUGUUAAAGCUCCGAGCUCAACCCGGAGAGGUCAUCAGAAACUGCAGAUAUUGAGUGCUGGAGAGGAUAGUGGAAUUCCUGGUGUAGCGGUAAAAUGCGUAGAGAUCAGGAGGAACACCAGUGGCGAAGGCGGCUAUCUGGACAGUAACUGACGCUGAGGCGCGAAAGCGUGGGGAGCAAACAGGA